rnacentral:rRNA from 1 species
UGCCCGAAGGGUGACGAAGCGACGCCGCGUGAGCGAAGAAGGCCCUAGGGUUGUAAAGCUCUGUCGGGGGCUAUGAAAUGCAGGUUGGUUAAUACCCAACCUGUUUGACAAAGGCCCCAAAGGAAGCCACGGCUAACUCUGUGCCAGCAGCCGCGGUAAUACAGGGGUGGCAAGCGUUGUUCGGUAUUAUUGGGCGUAAAGAGCACGUAGGUGGUUUUGUAAGUCAGAUGUGAAAGCCUUCUGUUCAAAGGAAGAACGGCAUCUGAAACUGCAGAUCUUGAGUGUAGGAGGGGAGAGUGGAACUUCUGGUGGAGCGGUGAAAUGCGUAGAUAUCAGAAGGAACGUCGGCGGCGAAAGCGACUCUCUGGCCUAUUACUGACACUGAGUGUGCGAAAGUUAGGGGAGCAAACGGGAUUAGAUACCCCGGUAGUCCUAACUGUAAACGAUGGGCACUAAGUAGAGGGG